rnacentral:lncRNA from 1 species
AGAACAAAAAGGUCUUAUUUUAAGUAGUUUUCCUGCUUUUAAUCACUGAAUUCAUGUAGAGUUUCUGUAUGCCAACUAUUAUUGAGGUUUAGCAAGCCAAUUAUAUUGCAGAGGCAUACCACUGGCUACUUUAGAAAACAUCCUUAUACUAUACCUUUUACCUGUUAUUAAAAUUAAAACUAAAUAUACCUUUUACCUAUUAUUAAAUAACAGUGACAUUCUUAAAGCUUUUUACAAAGUACAAGAUAAUAAACUUACUUUAAAUGAGUAAUUUUAUUCCAUUAGUCCCGAAACAUGUUCAGUGAAAUAAUUAUCUAAAAAUACUUGUCAACCCAAAUAAUGUCAAUAUACUAGUACUGUUAACUUACUCAAAUAAAUUAUAACCAGGAUUAUUUAACAAAACAUUAAAGGAAAAAAACUCAAUUACUUAGAAUGCAUUGGUAUGGUUCUCUAAGCAUCUAGAUUAAGAGCAUUAAAUUUCAUUUGAAAAUCAAAUUGUAUAAUUGAAGGAUUUUCACACACAUGGGAUUUUCCACACUUUAUCUCUUAAUGUAAUAUUUAUUCAAAGUACAUUUUAAAAUUGAGAAAUACCUUUAAUAUUACAACACCUUCUUAUUUGCUACCAAAAUAAGGGAGAGAUUUUUAUGAAACUGUCAUUUUAAAUAAUAGUCAAUAGCUGCACACAUUAAGUAAACAAAUUCAGUUCAAGGGAAGAACUUCAUCACCAUUUGGUGGUUGUAAUUUAGAUUAUUCUAGCGUGUAAUACUUUAAUUGUAUAAAACAAAGCUGAUGUCACAAAUACAAAAGAAUUUCUUGCAAAGCAAGUACCACAAGUAAUUU